rnacentral:rRNA from 1 species
ACUCCUACGGGAGGCAGCAGUGGGGAAUAUUGCACAAUGGGCGGAAGCCUGAUGCAGCAACGCCGCGUGAGGGAUGACGGCCUUCGGGUUGUAAACCUCUUUUAGCAAGGAAGAAGCGUGAGUGACGGUACUUGCAGAAAAGCACCGGCUAACUACGUGCCAGCAGCCGCGGUAAUACGUAGGGUGCAAGCGUUAUCCGGAAUUAUUGGGCGUAAAGAGCUCGUAGGCGGUUUGUCGCGUCUGCUGUGAAAACCCGAGGCUCAACCUCGGGCCUGCAGUGGGUACGGGCAGACUAGAGUGCGGUAGGGGAGAUUGGAAUUCCUGGUGUAGCGGUGGAAUGCGCAGAUAUCAGGAGGAACACCGAUGGCGAAGGCAGAUCUCUGGGCCGUAACUGACGCUGAGGAGCGAAAGGGUGGGGAGCAAACAGGCUUAGAUACCCUGGUAGCUAC